rnacentral:tRNA from 1 species
AAAUCCGUCGACUUAG